rnacentral:rRNA from 1 species
CCUACGGGUGGCAGCAGUAGGGAAUAUUGCACAAUGGGCGAAAGCCUGAUGCAGCAACGCCGCGUGCGCGAUGAAGGCCUUCGGGUCGUAAAGCGCUUUUCUGGAGGACGAGCAAGGACGGUACUCCAGGAAUAAGGCUCGGCUAACUACGUGCCAGCAGCCGCGGUAAAACGUAGGAGCCAAGCGUUAUCCGAAUUCACUGGGCGUAAAGCGCGUGCAGGCGGUCUGGUAAGUUGGAUGUGAAAUCUCCUGGCUCAACUGGGAGAGGACGUUCAAUACU